AUUGAACGCUGGCGGCAGGCCUAACACAUGCAAGUCGAGCGAGCGGCGGACGGGUGAGUAAUGUCUGGGAAACUGCCUGAUGGAGGGGGAUAACUACUGGAAACGGUAGCUAAUACCGCAUACCAUCAGAUGUGCCCAGGUGGGAUUAGCUGGUAGGUGGGGUAACGGCUCACCUAGGCGACGAUCCCUAGCUGGUCUGAGAGGAUGACCAGCCACACGGGAACUGUACCACGGUCCGACCUCCUACGGGAGGCAGAGGUGGGGAAUGUUGGACAAUGGGCGCAGGCCUGAUGCAGCCAUGCCGCGUGUGUGAAGAGGGCCUUGGGGUUGUAAAGCACUUUCAGCGGGGAGGCGUUACCCGCAGAAGAAGCACCGGCUAACUCCGUGCCAGCAGCCGCGGUAAUUC
rnacentral:rRNA from 1 species